UUUGGACAUCACAAAAAAAGCCCUAAGGACAAAACCGGCAUAAAAAAUAGUUUUAAAAUUAGGGUUUCAUCUCGUAUAUAGCCUCCUUGCCUCGACCUCCAACUCCGACUUUCAGAGACAACUCGCAGCCUCCAGCAAGAAACCAUCAAAAUGCCGAAGCAGAUCCAUGAGAUUAAGGAUUUCCUUCUAACCGCAAGAAGGAAGGAUGCCCGCAAUGUCAAAAUCAAGAGGACCAAGGAUGCUGUUAAGUUCAAGGUUCGGUGCUCCAAGUACCUUUACACACUUUGUGUGUUUGAUUCCGACAAGGCCAACAAGUUGAAGCAAUCUCUUCCUCCAGGUUUGAACGUUCAGGAUCCUUGAACCAGGAUUUUGGAGUGGCUUGUCGGCACAUUCUAGUGAAUGUAGCAAUGGAAUGAAAUUUGUACUUUGAAAGAUUUUUAUGGCCGGAUGAUGUUGGUGUUAGAUGUUAGAACUCCGAGAUGUUUGUGGUUAAUGUGUUUUGACUUGAGUUAAUUGUUUAGAUGUUUUGGUUAUGGAUCCAUCGGGUUUGUGUUUGCUUGA